UACGUAGGGUGCAAGCGUUGCUCGGAUUCACUGGGCGUAAAGGGUGCGUAGGCGGUCGGGUAAGUCUGAUGUGAAAUCUCACAGCUUAACUGUGAAACUGCAUUGGAUACUAUUCGGCUUGAGAGUUGGAGGGGGGACUGGAAUUCUUGGUGUAGCAGUGAAAUGCGUAGAUAUCAAGAGGAACACCAGUGGCGAAGGCGAGUCCCUGGACAACUUCUGACGCUGAGGCACGAAAGCUAGGGGAGCAAACAGG
rnacentral:rRNA from 1 species